AGGUCCCCCUUAAUUAGACAGGGGCUUUUUCAGCCUCUCCUGAAGAUGGUCCUUCAGGAGAGGCUGAAUUGUUAAUUGUUGCAGAAAAAGUGGCAUCCCGCUUAUCUAUAAACACAUAAUUCAUGGGGUUAUUAUAAUGAUCAGCUGUAUGUGUCAUUAGAAAAGAGCAGAGAAGCAGAAUUACUUGUUGACUGGCGCAGAGACACGUACAUCUGCUGUGAAUAGCCAGGCUCACACUUGAAUUGACAUAUCGCAGCAGUUUGCAGCACAUCCACCUCCUGUGUGUCCCUAGCGUCAGAUCAGUAUGUACAAUGAUUUUCUUCACAAUUUGGGUUUGAGUGGCAACAAUUAGUCAAUUAAUCAAUUAUGUGUCAGCUAUUUAAUUAAUCACAAACUAUUUGGCAUUUGAUUACUUCUUUUGAGUAUUUUUUAAAGAAAAUAAUUCAAAUUCUCUAAUUUCAGCAUUUUCUAGUUUCUUUAGUCCUCUGACAGUUAACUGAAUAUCUUUGGGUUGUAGACAAAACAAGACAUUUGAGAACAUCACCUUGGCAAUUUGGAAAACACUGAUAAACAUUUUUCACUAUUUUCUGUAAUUUUAUGGGCCAAGCAAAUAAUCGAUUAAUGAAGAAAACAAAUUAAUCAAUAAUGAAAAUAACAUUAGUUGCAGCCCUAGUUUUGGUGCAAAGACAUAAAAAAAUCUCAUCCAUGCCAACUGCGUGGAUGAGAUUAUGAAUAUCUAGAAAAACACUUAAACACGCUACUACUACAUACUGCAUGUUAGCAACUUGUCUUUCACAUGCCAUACGGCUGUAACUGAUGAGGCAGUGGCUUCCAUAGCUUUUUUCUUAGUUUCCACAUGUCUUCUGGACAGGGCCUGGAUCACUUGUGCUCCUCUUACACAAACACUCAACCUGCUGGAGGAAGGUUUACGACUAUUCUAUAUUCUCUCCGUCUUUAUGAUUACCUUAAUGUACUCUGAGAGAUCCUGAGAGCAUUGAAGUGUUUGGAUCGUCCUUUGUCCUUAUUUUGUAGAUUUUCUACGUAUUUAACCUUAAAGGGGACAUAUUAUGAAAAACCAACUUUUUAAUCAUUUGAUUAUGUACAUUUGGGACUCUGGAGGGCCUAUCAGCAGCAAAGUGUGAAAAAAAAUGACUCAGUCAUGUUUUUGUGGGCUGCCUCAGUCAGAAUACAGGAGAGAAAUCACUCCGUUUCAGACAGUCAGACUUUUUGACGUCAUUUCGCCUCCAUGUUGCCACCCACCGCAGUUUACUUCCUGUUGACUAUCGGAGCUCCGCCAUUGUUACUAUAAAAGCGCAAGCUAGUGGAGAACAAGCUAGUGGAGAACCAGCAAGCGAGCCCAGCCAGCAGCCUGCCAGGCUAAUGUCUGGGCAAAGGCUUCAGCAGACUAACUGUUCAGUCAUUGGCUGCACAGCCCAAUCUACAUAUGUGUGAGCCAUUGGAUUUGUUUUUAUUUUUGACGGAAAUGUCUGUCGGAAAAGCCGGAACGUGUGUGAACCACUUCCUGUCGGACUGUUUUCACAACCUCGGUCAGUACAACACUGGACUGACUGAAAGACUGUUCCUGAAAGAGGGAUUGUACCAACUGUCUGUGGAGAGACAGCAGAGGAAAUAACUGUGACCUGAUGAAGCUCAGGUGUUCCUGGACCCAUCAGAGGACAGAGACAGCUGCAGCAUCAGGACAGUAUGAAGGACACGAUCUGCACAGUUUACAUAAAAGUUCUAGCUUUGUUACUUACAACAUGUGUAACUGGAAUAUAAAUUAAACAUAAAUAAAGUGUUUUACUUUUAAGAA